rnacentral:lncRNA from 1 species
GUUCUUGCUUAUAUUUCUAGAGGGAUCUGUAACUUUCCAGGACAUACUUCUCUGUCUUUGACCUCAAGAACCAAAUUUAAAUAGAGACAACUGAGUUAUCUGUGAAAUUCAGAAUUAUGCCUUGUCUGUGGUAGCUUAUUUUUCUUGUUGAGCUCUAUCAUUUUCUUUUUAAAGAUUUUAUUUAUUUAUUCAUGAGAGAUACAGAGUGAGAGAGAGAGAGAGGCAAAGACAUAGGCAGAGGGAGAAACAGGCUCCACGCAGGGAGCCCGGCAUGGGACUCUAUCCCGGGGCUCCAGGAUCACGCCCUGGGCUGAAGGCAGUGCUAAACCACUGAGCCACCAGGGCUGCCCAGUCUUUAACAUUCCUGUAGGAGUUCCUAUCUCUCCUUCCUUGAAGCCAAAGGAUAGAACAAUGUGACUGACAGAUCUCCUUAAGCAGCAAGACCCAGUAAUUCAAAAAGCUGACUCUCUCCUGGGUCAGGGGACCUGCCUCUUUCAUUGGUACUUUUCUCCCAGUGAUGUAAGCUGGGAAGUCAUUUGUCCAGUUCUGACUGGCCCUUUCUUCUGUCUUCUUGUAGGACACAUGGCUAGCUUAAUUUCUGUGAAAAAACAACUGGUCCAGGCCCUGAAAGAAUGUAUCCUUUUGGAUGAGACCAAACUGUCUGUGAUGAAAAGAUAAAGGUGAAACAAUCCAGGGUCUUAAAUAUCACUUCAGUUUCUGCCCACUCAUCUCAAGUCAGAGUCAACUAAAGGUAAUCUUGGGGUGGGGUGGUUUGACAUCUCUUCCAGCCACUUUAUUCAUAUAUGUGAGAUUUCUUUCACCUGGAUGUUCACUUGGUGUCUCCCCAUUUGUUUAUUGUUUGUGUCUCACACUAUCUUUAGGUAUGUAUAACUGUAUGUGCAUACCUCUGUGUGAGCCUACGUGUGAUUGUGUGUGUGUGUGUGUGUGUGUGUGUGUGUGAUUUGUUUGUUUAUAGGACCCAGGAAUGAUUUUGUCCUAGCCUGAAUACAUGCCUUCUUAUUGUAGUUUGACCAGUUUUGAGUUUUACUUAAAAGUUUGGAAGGUCUGGGACGCCUGGGUAGCUCAGCAGUUGAGCAUCUGCCUUUGGCUCAGGGCAUGAUCCCGGAGUUCCGGGAUCGAGUCCCACAUCAGGCUUCCUGUGAGGAGCCUGCUUCUCCCUCUGUCUGUGUCUCUGCCUCUCUCUGUGUCUCUCAUGAAUAAAUAAAUAAAAUCUUAAAAAAAAAAAGUUCA